GAUGAACGCUGGCGGCGUGCCUAAUACAUGCAAGUCGAACGAACAGAUGAGGAGCUUGCCCCCCUGACGUUAGCGGCGGUCGGGUGAGUAACACGUGGAUAACCUACCUAUAAGACUGGGAUAACUUCGGGAAUCCGGAGCUAAUACCGGAUAUUAUAUUGAACCGCAUGGUUCAAUAGUGAAAUACGGUUUUGAUGUCACUUAUAGAUGGAUCAGCGCCGCAUUAGCUAGUUGGUAAGGUAACGGCUUACCAAGGCUACGAUGGCAAGCGGACCUGAGAGGGUGAUCGGCCACACGGGAAGUGAGACACGGUCCAGACUCCUACGGGGGGCAGCAGCAGGGAAUCUUCCGCGAUGGAGGAAAGCGUGACAGAGCAAAGCCGCGUGAGUGAUGAAGGACUGCGGAUCGUAAAACUCUGUUAUUAGGGAAGAACAAAAGUGUAAGUAACUAUGCAGGUCUUGACGGUACCUGAGCAGAAAGCCACGGCUAACUACGUG
rnacentral:rRNA from 1 species